UCAUUGUAACGCUUCCCUCACAAGGCCACAUCAACCCAACUCUCCAACUAGCUAAGCUCCUCAUACGUGCCGGUGCCCAUGUCACCUUUUUCACUAGCACUUCCGCCGGCACCCGUAUGUCCAAGUCCCCAAAUCUGGAUGGAUUAGAGUUUGCCACAUUCUCGGAUGGCUAUGACCAUGGCCUCAAACAAGGCGAUGAUGUCGAGAAAUUCAUGUCCCAGAUUGAGCGUCUCGGGUCCCAAGCUCUUAUUGAGCUUAUCAUGGCCAGUGCUAAUGAAGGUCGUCCCUUUGCUUGCUUACUCUAUGGUGUCCAAAUUCCUUGGGUAGCAGAGGUGGCCCAUAGCCUUCACAUCCCUUCCGCACUUGUUUGGACUCAACCGGCCGCUGUUUUUGAUAUCUAUUACUAUUAUUUCAAUGGUUAUGGAGAGCUCAUCCAGAACAAGGGCGAUCAUCCCUCCUCUACCAUUGAAUUACCAGGACUCCCGUUGCUUAACAACAGUGAUCUUCCCUCCUUUUUAAUUCCCCCAAAAGGGAAUACGUACAAAUUUGCCCUCCCAGGGUUUCAGAAGCACCUAGAGAUGCUCAACUGUGAAAGCAACCCGAAAGUACUGAUAAACAGUUUCGAUGCAUUAGAAUCUGAGGCCCUAGGAGCUAUCAACAAGUUUAACUUGAUGGGAAUUGGACCCUUGAUUCCGUCCGCUUUCUUGGAUGGAAAGGAUCCAUCCGAUACUUCAUUUGGAGGCGAUCUUUUCCGCAGUUCAAAGGACUAUAUCCAGUGGCUGAACUCAAAGCCUAAAUCUUCUGUCAUAUAUGUAUCAUUCGGAAGCCUGUUCGUGUUGUCAAAGCAACAGUCAGAGGAGAUUGCUCGUGGACUGCUGGAUGGAGGACGGCCUUUCCUGUGGGUCAUACGACUUGAGGAAAAUGAAGAAGAAAAGACACUGAGUUGCCAUGAAGAGUUGGAACGGCAAGGAAUGAUGGUACCAUGGUGUUCUCAAGUUGAAGUUCUAUCACAUCCAUCAAUGGGGUGUUUUGUGACACACAGUGGGUGGAAUUCAACAUUAGAGAGCUUGACUUCUGGGGUACCAGUUGUGGCAUUUCCUCAGUGGUCUGAUCAAGCGACAAACGCGAAGCUGAUUGAAGUCGUGUGGAAGACGGGUUUACGGGCGAUGGUGAACCAAGAAGGAAUAGUAGAAGCUGAUGAAAUCAAGAGGUGCUUGGAACUGGUGAUGGGAAGUGGAGAAAGAGGUGAAGAAAUGAGAAGGAACGCAACGAAAUGGAAGGUUUUAGCUAGAGAAGCUGUGAAGGAAGGUGGAUCAUCUGACAAGAAUCUUAAGAAUUUUAUGAAUGAGGUAAUGCACAACAAGGUUACUUGUAGUUCUUGAUCUAUAUAAUGUCAUAACAAUGAGUUUGUAUCCAGAUGAGCUAUCUCAAUUCAGUAAUAUGCAUACCGACACCUUCCUUUUAACAGCAUUAUAAUCAUUACUCAGUCAUGGCCGCCACCAUAAGGUACAUGUAAAUUUGGUCAUGGCUAUAGUAAAUGUAUGUUACCUACCACACUUCGCCAAGUGUUGCUGGCUCACUGCGGCCACUCGCGAGUGAUUCAAUAUUUUGGCAUGUCCAGGUUCACAAAACUUGAAUCUGUAUUAUUUUUCUUCUUAGAAUUAAAUACUUUAUAUUGUAGAUUUUUCUUUUUCUAAAAUCUUGGAAUUGAAACUAAUAAAACUUCCCAAAAUUUUCAUGUUAUAUGGAUGUAAAUGAAGUACGGACUUUUGCAAAUUUUUAAUGCUCAACAAACCUGUAAUGACAUCCUUGUAAUAAAAUUUGAGAUUUAAAAAAGAGUCGAUUGUAAAAGGCAUUUUUUGGGUUGUGAAGGUCCUGGUUAUGGAUUUAAAAGGGAAAAAAGACAAACAAACAAAACAAUUUUAUUAAAAAAAAAAAAGAAAGAAAAAGAAAAACCACUAGAACCCUUGUACAGACAUUUUGAAUUCUUGUUACAUAGAAAUUGUAGACAUAAAUUGAAGGAUUAAAUUAUCAUUGAAUUGAUAAAAAAAAAAAAUAUUGUGAUGGUUUAAAUAAACAAAAUUUCAACUUCACAAGUGGUGAAUUAUACAUAUUGAAUACGGAUAUGUAAUUCAAAAGGAGAUAUGUAAUGAAAUUUAGAAGGCUUUAAAAUUCAGUAUUCAAAUCAAAUAAUUAAAAUCAAAAGAGAAUUAGAAAUAAAUAUUCUCUUGUUAGUAAAUUUUCUAAAUGAAGAAGAUAAAUGAUUAAAAUCAAAGAACUAAAUUCUUUGAAUGAAGCAAUCAAAUUUUAGGGAUUUCAAAUUUAAUUCUCUAACUUUACUUAUAAAUAAUGGUAACCUUCUUCAGUGGAGAGGAUUGAAAAAAUAACUUCACAAGAGAAAAGAAGCUUCAUAGAGAGAAAAAAGUUUCACAAAACAUCCAUACAAGUCUGAGAAAGAAUAGAUUAUUUGAGUUGUUGGCUAUGGAGAUGUGCAUACAAGGAAUGCAUAGGGACCUUCUAUAUAUCCUUCAAGGGAUACAACCCUACACCUUCAAAGAGUUGGCUAGCUACUUGAGCACAUGAUAUGGAACUCAACAUAGCAAGCCAUGGUGCAAAGAAAGACACUAGUGUUGAUCAAUGAAGGGAGAGAAAUGACACGAAAAUGAGUUAUAAGUAAUAGGAUAUAACCCUUAAAAUCAUGACAUGAUGUAACAAAUUCUGAUUUUAUUAUUUAUUUAAUAAAAUUCCUAUUUUACUUUAAUAUGUUCUUAUUUCAUGCAUUAUACCAUAUGAAUAUUUAAGCAUUCAUCUCUUGCAUUGCACAUGAUUUAGAUGUAUUAGGAGUUGUACAAAAAAUCCAACUCAAGGUUAUCGAAUUACCUAAGUAAAAGCACUCAGAAGAAAUGGGUCGUGUUGAUGAUGCAAAUUACUACCAUUACCAUUGAACAUUAGUCACCCAGUGGAGAAAUGUUUCAUCUUCAAAGAUCUCAUAAUGAACCUUAUGUAAUAUUGAAGGAUUUAUUUGGAUCUUGAUGAAAUGGUAGAGUUAAAUCACACUACUAUCACAUUUUAGUCAUUCAAUCUUGUUCCAUUACCUGCUCUACCUAAGAUAGCAGGAGCAUGCAUUGGUAUUAUUCAAUGUGAGUCAUUUAAGUCAAGGUAAACACAAGUGCCAUACUAAGGUAUCCUUCUUCACCUCAUGUCUAAUAAUGAAUCUAUGCUAGAUAGUGAGGCAAGUUAGACAUUUGUAACUCAAAGAAAACCUUGUAGAAAGCAAGUGUUUCAUCCAUAUCCUAAAUUUCCCAAGAGGGAGCGACACAAGGGAAACAUUAAUCGAUGUUUAGAGUAAAAAAAGGAAAAAGGAAGUCAAAAAUAAAAUAAGUGGUAAUACAAGUUGAUAACUUCUUUGUGUAGAGACUCAUCGUCCCUACCACCUUUGGGGAAUACUUCUCUCCAGGGUUCUUCGAUAAGUUGAUGAUAGCAAUCACUAAUAUAGUUUCUUGUUACAAGACUCUAGAACAAGAUAAGUUAAUUGAAGAUGAAGAAUAUAGUACUCCUAUUAUAAAGGCAAGAAAAAUCAAGGAAGAAAAAAAGGUAGUAGCAAGACUACAUUGCUUUCUAUCACUUUUCAAUUGCCAUGAAAUGCUACAACUUCUUGAGGAGAUGCAAAUUGCAUUGAUUUAGGCAUUCAAGAAUCCAACACUUAUGCCACAAAAAUAAAAGGAGCAAAGGAAACCUAAGAGCAAAAGCCACGGUUGUGUGAUAGGUUAUGCAACCAUCACCUUCAAUGACAAGAGCCUCCAAUAAUGGUCAAAGCCAAAUAAUUGGCUCCUAUUCGUUAGAGGAUACAUACGGGAACAAAAGGUCACUUGUAUAUUAAUUGAUAAAGGAUUUGCAGUAAAUAUCAUGCCUAAGGUGAUGACAAGGCAACUACAAAUUGCCACAAAUGAGUUAGCAUGGAGUCGCUCAAUUGAAAGCUUUAAACAAAGGGGACCAUGAGCUAUUAACAUGAUUUGUCUAGAUCUUAUUACAAGUGAAUUAAGUUUGAACACAUUUUUUUCAUGUACUCGAUGUGAAACAUCUUACAAUGUGUUAUUUGGGUGACCAUGGCUUUAUGAGAAUGGGGUAAUGCUUUCAACACUACACUAGUGUUUCAAGUUAUACGAAGAAGGGUUAAAGAAAGUAGAUGUUAAUGCUAAGCUAUUUAUGGAAAUUGAGUCUUACUUUAUUAAUGUCAAAUUCUACAUAGAAAAUGAUGCUAUAUAAGAAGUCCUCCCUACAACUACUCCCUUCAUUAGAAAGACUAAACUUAAGAAAGUUAAAUAGGUUGAGACAACACUAGAAAAAAUUUCACGGUCAAGAAUGACUCUAAUUGAACAAAAAGAGAAAUCUUUAGAAGGAUCAACAUCAAUCAAUAAAUAUUAUUACUUCUCCAAUCUUUAGGUAUGUCUCAAGAUUUCAAUGUACUAUGUUGUGAAUGCAAUAUAUCAUCUUAGCAAUAAACUAAUUUAUAUUUAAAAUACAAACUCACUUUGUUUUCUCAUCACCUUUAGCUUUUAUCUUUUUAUGUAAGAUAUUUUGAUAUUGGUGAUGAAAUUAUUGAAAUUUUCUGUGAAAAAUUUGGUAGAUUUUCUAUAAGAAACAAAAUCUAAGACAAUAUACACAAGAUUUUAAUAAAACUUACACCAUGCAUGUUUGCAAGAUGAUAACAAUUAGUUUGUGCACACCAAAAAAUAAAUGUAGAUAAAAAUGCUUUUGGGAGUGGUGAUAGAGUAUACCUGAAAAUGAUAUCUCACGAAAGUUAAAUGUAUGCAUAGGGAUUGAGAUAAUCCUUUGAUGUGAUUUUUGGGUUAAGACUGGGUAAGUGUCUAAAACUUUUAUAUAUUUCAUUGCUAAAGUACUUCCUAAAACUUUUUUUUUUUUAAUUUUAAUUUAUAUUUUAGUAUCAAUCAAUUGUCAAUAAAAGUGCGAUGGACAAAAAUCCUCUUGGUUAAAAGCACUUGUCAUCAAUAGGCUCUUUGACAGCUAGCCAUGGGUCGACCUUUAGACAAAAGUCCUCUAGGUUAAAAGCACGUGUUCGGUCUGACUGGGCUUUCUGACAGCUGCUCGUGAUUAUCCAAUAAAAACGAGUUCUAAUUAAGAUGGAUUUUGGAAAAUAACAUUUAAGUCAAAGACAAAUCAACUUAGAACUUCGAUGCGUCGUUACAAUCGUCAUAGCCAUAGCUCAUUUCGUGUACAAAAUUCCAACUCCAGCCUAUGCAGUUCCGACCACAAAUUGAGGUGGUCCUCUUCUGCAUACGCAUUCAUUUGUACUGCACCAUGUCGAACCCCCACAUCCUCAUUGUAACGCUUCCCGUACAAGGCCACAUCAAUCCAACUCUCCAACUAGCUAAGCUCCUCAUACGUGCUGGUGCCCAUGUCACCUUUUUCCCUAGCGCUUCCGCCGGUUCCCGUAUGUCCAAGUCCCCAAACCUGGAUGGAUUAGAGUUUGCCACUUUCUCGGAUGGCUAUGACCAUGGCCUCAAACAAGGCGAUGAUGUCGAG
rnacentral:lncRNA from 1 species